rnacentral:rRNA from 1 species
CAGUCGCCGCGGGAAAACGAAGGGAGCUAGCGUUGCUCGGAAUGACUGGGCGUAAAGGGCGCGUAGGCGGCACAGACAGUCAGAAGUGAAAUUCCUGGGCUCAACCUGGGGACUGCUUUUGAUACGUCUGAGCUAGAGUGGAGAAGAGGGUUGUGGAAUUCCCAGUGUAGAGGUGAAAUUCGUAGAUAUUGGGAAGAACACCGGUGGCGAAGGCGGCAACCUGGUCCUUGACUGACGCUGAGGCGCGAAAGCUAGGGGAGCAAAUGGGAUUAGAUACCCCUGUAGUCCCUGUCUCUUAUGC